rnacentral:rRNA from 1 species
UGACCCCGAGACCGAUAGCGAACAAGUACCGUGAGGGAAAGUUGAAAAGCACUUUGAAGAGAGAGUUCAAGAGUACGUGAAACCGCUUAGUAGUAAACGGAGGGACUCUCGAAGUCGGCGGUGACGGUUCAGGGUGACGGCGGGGCGGCCUGGGGGCGUGGGAUCCGCAAGGACCCUGUCCCUUUGUCAGCUCUGUCGGCGCCUGCACUUCGUUGCCGCCAUACGCGAUGAACCGUUUUCGGCGGACCGAGGGCGUGGGUGAAGUUUGUUGGCUUCGGCUUUCAAGCCCCGCGUUCCUGGCUCUGUCGGGGACGGGUAGUGGAGCGAUCUCUUAUAGAGAGUGCCCUUGCUGGCACGGUUCGCAUCUCUAUCGCGAGUAGGUCGGCGGUCCCUCCGACCCGUCUUGAAACACGGACCAAGGAGUUUAACAUGUGCGCGAGCCAUUGGGUGUUCGAAACCCAAAGGCGCAGUGAAAGCAAAGUCUGACUUGUCAGAUGAGGGGUGAUCCUUCACGGGCGCAACCCCGGAGCUUCGCAUCGACCUCGCUUCGUGCGGAGCAUCAAGAGCGUACACGUUGAGACCCGAAAGAUGGUGAACUAUGCCUGGCCAGGUUGAAGUCAGGGGAAACCCUGAUGGAGGACCGUAGCGAUUCUGACGUGCAAAUCGAUCGUCGGAGCUGGGUAUAGGGGCGAAAGACUAAUCGAACCAUCUAGUAGCUGGUUCCUUCCGAAGUUUCCCUCAGGAUAGCUGGUGCUCGUAAUCGAGUUUCAUCCGGUAAAGCGAAUGAUUAGAAGUAUUGGGGGCGAAACGCCCUCAACUUAUUCUCAAACUUUAAAUGGGUGAGAAGCGGGACUUGCUUAAUUGAAGCCUCGCAACGAAUCGGAGUGCCUAGUGGGCCAUUUUUGGUAAGCAGAACUGGCGCUGUGGGAUGAACCGAACGUUGAGUUAAAGUGCCAAAGUGUGCGCUCAUCAGAUCCCAUGAAAGGUGUUGGUUGCUUAAGACAGCAGGACGGUGGCCAUGGAAGUCGGAAUCCGCUAAGGAGUGUGUAACAACUCACCUGCCGAAGCAACUAGCCCUGAAAAUGGAUGGCGCUAAAGCGCGCCACUUAUACUCAACCGUUGGAGCAGAGCCGGCUCUUUGCAGCCCUGACGCUCCAACGAGUAGGAAGGUCGCGUGGGUGGCGCCGAAGGCUUUUGGGUGUGAACCUGGCCGGAGCCGCCCACGGUGCAGAUCUUGGUGGUAGUAGCAAAUACUCCAGAGAGGCCCUGGAGGACCGAUGUGGAGAAGGGUUUCGUGUGAACAGCCGUUGAACACGAGUCAGUCGAUCCUAAGGCUUAGGGGAAACCUUAAUCAAGCGUGCGGCGUUUCGACUGUGAAACCGCAACUUGGCCGAAAGGGAAUUUGGUCCUUAUUCCAAAACCUGGCCGUGGAACCGUUUCGGAAUCUCGCAUUCCGUCGUGGCAACGCGACACGACUGGGAGACGCCCACCGAAGCUCUGGGAAGAGUUGUCUUUUCUGCAUAAGCCGCCGAGGCCCUGGAAUCCUCUCGCAGGGCGAACGGGUUUUGGUUUUGGCGAAGAUCCUCGCAGUUCUCGCGAGGACCACGAGUGGUCGGUGGGACCUUGAAAAUCCCAGGGAGAUUACGGCGGACUCACGCCAGCUCGUACCCAUAUCCGCAGCAGGUCUCCAAGGUGAACAGCCUCUGGUCGAUAGAAUAAUGUAGGUAAGGGAAGUCGGCAAAUUGGAUCCGUAACUUCGGGAUAAGGAUUGGCUCUGAGGGUUGGGGCGGUCGGGCUUUGCACAGGAAGCGGCUGCGUCCACCGGCGGGCCUGGGCAAGUCCCACGAGGGUCGAACCCGGUCCCGUUCACGGGCCUCCGUGGAUUGUCAUUGCUUUGCGGGCUCGGCUUCGCGGCCGAUGUCCCGUUCGGUCGUCAAUCAACAACCAACUCAGAACUGGCACGGACAAGGGGAAUCCGACUGUCUAAUUAAAACAAAGCAUUGCGAUGGUCAGAGAGUGAUGUUGACGCAAUGUGAUUUCUGCCCAGUGCUCUGAAUGUCAAAGUGAAGAGAUUCGUCCAAGCGCGGGUAAACGGCGGGAGUAACUAUGACUCUCUUAAGGUAGCCAAAUGCCUCGUCAUCUAAUUAGUGACGCGCAUGAAUGGAUUAACGAGAUUCCCACUGUCCCUAUCUACUAUCUAGCGAAACCGCAGCCAAGGGAACGGACUUGGGAAGAUCAGCGGGGAAAGAAGACCCUGUUGAGUUUGACUCUAGUCUCCUAUUGUGGCGGAGCAUCUCUGGCGUAGAAUAGGGAGGAGACUUCGGUCGCCAGUGAAAUACUCCUACGGAGAUCGCUCCUCUGCUUACUCGGUUAGGCGGGUUCGGCCUUCGGGCCGCUUUUUCGACUCAACCGCGGCGGCUUCGCUGCCGCGGGACCCGCUCCGAGGACAUUGCGAGGCGGGGAGUUUGACUGGGGCGGUACAUCUGUCAAAUGAUAACGCAGGUGUCCUAAGGCCAGCUCAGCGAGGACGG